rnacentral:misc_RNA from 1 species
GUAGGUGAACCUGCGGAAGGAUCAUUACCAAUCCAAAAAAACUUAUACACCUGUGCACUUUGAGAUGUCUUUAGGGGAACUAAAGUGGCGUUUCUAUCUCUUAGGCGUUGAUCAACUUUUUGUUUUUCAUAUGCUGUUUGACGAGAUGGAGGACAAUACUUUGUCCCCGCAUGUAUUAAACAACUUGUUUAAACCAAACUUUUUAUUUUCAUUUUGUUUGACUUUUGUCAUCGAAAUGUAAAAAACAAAA